CCUUGUACUCAUCUCCUAUACACACUUACAUUAGAGUCCCAAUGCACACACUCACUACAUCCCCUAUACACACACACACGUUAUCUUGCUCUGUACAGCCCCAAGUUACACAUUUCAUACCACAAACCCAACGCAACUGUGAACACCACAACCCACUCACUACACACAUGCAAUUCUACAAGCAGCCUCCAAACACAUGCACAAUACGCUUUCCUGGCCCUUUUGGCCACUUGUAUCUGACUUAUGGAGACACCAGAGACAAAUUACAAGCAAUCAGUUCAAGCUGUCAUUAAAUUUACUUGUGCUGCUCAGAACAAAUACAGGGCCUUUUUCUCACGCAAGAGCAUUGAACCAAUAUACUCACUUUUAAAGGGGCGUCCAUAUUAUUGAUGAUGAUCAAACACCCCCAAACAGGGCCAGAUUAAGAGCCCAGGUGACCUGGUGCUGACAAUUAUG